rnacentral:rRNA from 1 species
UACGAAGGGGGCUAGCGUUGCUCGGAAUCACUGGGCGUAAAGCGCACGUAGGCGGAUUCUUAAGUCAGGGGUGAAAUCCUGGAGCUCAACUCCAGAACUGCCCUUGAUACUGGGAAUCUCGAGUCCGGGAGAGGUGAGUGGAACUGCGAGUGUAGAGGUGAAAUUCGUAGAUAUUCGCAAGAACACCAGUGGCGAAGGCGGCUCACUGGCCCGGUACUGACGCUGAGGUGCGAAAGCGUGGGGAGCAAACAGG